UCUGAAGCAAACCAUUCUCUCUUCUGAUCACUUCCACUCUGUUGCAGCUGCUGGAACCCGGAACCAGGAGAGGAACUUCUCCUCAAGCUGAGCCAUCUCCCCUUCCGCCCCUUAGGUUGAGGACUUGAGGUGCCCUUGUGUUAGAGCCUUGCUUGUGGUGUUUUUUUUAAGAGCCUAGCCCAGAUGAUGAUGCCCCCCUUCAGAGCAGGAACUGACCUCUCUUACUUAUAGCUGUAGUAGUUUUGAACCAGGUUUUUGAGGAGUCUUAGUUUGGCAAGU